rnacentral:rRNA from 1 species
UACGUAGGGUGCAAGCGUUAAUCGGAAUUACUGGGCGUAAAGCGUGCGCAGGCGGUUUUGUAAGUCUGUCGUGAAAUCCCCGGGCUCAACCUGGGAAUUGCGAUGGAGACUGCAAGGCUGGAGUCUGGGCAGAGGGGGGUAGAAUUCCACGUGUAGCAGUGAAAUGCGCAGAUAUCAGGAGGAACACCGGUGGCGAAGGCGGCCCUCUGGACGAGUACUGACGC